GUUCGUCUUCAGGGGCAGGGUGUAAUUCCCGACCGGCGGUAAAAGUCCGCGACCUGCUGCAAUGUUGAUGCUUGUGGUGGCUGAACUGGUGUAAUCCCAGUACCGAUAGUGAAAGUCUAGAUGGAAGAAGAUAGGG
rfam:Lactobacillus graminis DSM 20719 NODE_7, whole genome shotgun sequence.